GAAGUAAAAGUCGUAACAAGGUUUCCGUAGGUGAACCUGCGGAAGGAUCAUUAUUGAAUAAAAAAAAGUUGGAAGGAAGGGGUUGUUGCUGGCGUCAAGCAUGUGCACGCCCCUCUUUUCACUCUUUUUUCAUCAACCACCUGUGCACCUUUUGUAGGCUCGGUCCGUUUGAAAAAGAAACGUUUUUGUCGAGUCCGCAUGGAUUCGGAUUUUAGAAGGUCUGUGCUGGCUUCGUUCAGCUGCCUUUGGUUUCUGAAAGGGCCGUGUCUAUGUUUUUUUGACAUACCCUAUUGUCAUAAAGUUAUAGAAUGUUGUGAUAAUAAACUCAAAUACAACUUUCAACAACGGAUCUCUUGGCUCUCGCAUCGAUGAAGAACGCAGCGAAAUGCGAUAAGUAAUGUGAAUUGCAGAAUUCAGUGAAUCAUCGAAUCUUUGAACGCACCUUGCGCUCCUUGGUAUUCCGAGGAGCAUGCCUGUUUGAGUGUCAUUAAAUUAUCAACCGCUUCAAAGUUUGUAUUGGCUUUGAAAGCUGGCUUGGAUUGUGGAGGGUUUUGCAGGCCUCUUGAGGUUGGCUCCUCUCAAAUGUAUUAGCAACGAGUCCUUUUUCGUUGGAUCGUCAUUGGUGUGAUAAUGCAAAUUUUAUGCCAUCGACGUCAACAAAUCCCCUAGUGGGGUGGAUUCAGCUUCCAAUCGUCUUUGAAAAACAAGACAACAUCUUAUUUUGACCUCAAAUCAGGUAGGACUACCCGCUGAACUUAAGCAUA
rnacentral:rRNA from 1 species